UACGUAGGGUGCGAGCGUUGUCCGGAUUUAUUGGGCGUAAAGAGCUCGUAGGCGGCUUGUCGCGUCGGAUGUGAAAGCCCGGGGCUUAACUCCGGGUCUGCAUUCGAUACGGGCAGGCUAGAGUGUGGUAGGGGAGAUCGGAAUUCCUGGUGUAGCGGUGAAAUGCGUAGAUAUCGGGAGGAACACCAGUGGCGAAGGCGACUUCUUGGCCUGUUCUUGACGCUGAGGCGCGAAAGCUGGGGGAGCAAACGGGG
rnacentral:rRNA from 1 species